rnacentral:rRNA from 1 species
AUUGAACGCUGGCGGCAGGCCUAACACAUGCAAGUCGAACGAGUCGCGAACGGGUGAGUAAUAUCUGAGAAACUGCACUAUGUGGGGGGAUAACUACUGGCAACGGUCGCUAAUACCGCAUACCAUCGGAUGUGCCCAGCUGGGAUUAGCUAUGGGGUGGGGUAACGGCUAACAUAGGCGACGAUCCCUAGCUUGUAUGAGAGGAUGACCAGAAACACGGUAACUGAGACACGGUCAAGACUACGAAGGGAGUGAGCAGGGGGGAAUAUUGCACAAUGGGCGCAAGCCUGAGUCAGCAAUGCCGCGUGUAGGAAGAAGGCCUUCGGGUUGGAAAGUACUGGCAGCGAGGAGGAGUUACUCGAAGAAGAAGCACCGGCUAACUCCGUGCCAGCAGCCGCGGUAAUUC